rnacentral:rRNA from 1 species
CAGCCGCCACGGGAACACGUAGGGUGCAAGCGUUAAUCGGAAUUACUGGGCGUAAAGCGUGCGCAGGCGGUUUGUUAAGACAGAUGUGAAAUCCCCGGGCUCAACCUGGGAACUGCAUUUGUGACUGGCAAGCUAGAGUCUGGCAGAGGGGGGUGGAAUUCCGCGUGUAGCAGUGAAAUGCGUAGAUAUGCGGAGGAACACCGAUGGCGAAGGCAGCCCCCUGGGCCAACACUGACGCUCAUGCACGAAAGCGUGGGGAGCAAACAGGAUUAGAUACCCCUGUAGUCCCUGUCUCUUAUAC